GAUAGGAAUGGAUCUCAGAGGUGCACAGAUCCAAUUUCGUUUUAUAGAUCAGUUUUCCGUUUUCAUAGGCAGUGAAAGAAGGGGUGAAAUGUGCUUUCUGUUAGAGAUAAAGAGCUCUUAUAAUCUUUUCACUGGCUGGCAAAUUCUUAUCUAAGACAUCUCCAAGCUCUGGUGUUUUCAUCUGCUUCUUUAGGACCACCAAACCAACAUUCAGUGGGAGUCAUGAAGAGAUGUGUUAGCACCUUCCAUUCUCAGCCUUUCUGGGGAAUAGGAGCCAAAUCUCUUACAACCAUGAGCUACAUGGCAUUAAUUUGUGAGCAAUAUUCAAUAUGUCAGCCUAGGUUCUCGAGUCAGCUCUGUGCCACGUCACUGAUGAAUACAUGUUUCCACUUGCUGGAUGGUGAAAAGAAUUCUGAAAACACAAACUUCUGGAGAAAUAUUUCAAGUACCCAAACACGUGUACCCAUUUACUCCCUCAACCCAGGACUAGAGCACUAGGCCUACUUGACCCCAAUAGCAGAGCACUCUUUCUUGUUGAGCCCUCUUGCGUUCUGAUCAGCCUUCACAGCUCAGAUCUCCAAGCAGCUGCUGAGGUGAAACUUAUUUAGAAUCCCCGGGAUAGACCCUAUUUUUUGUAGCCAUGUCCAAACCAGAUGGGUCACUACAAACCACUGUGUAUGGUCAGGCCACCCAAGAUGGCCGUCCUCUGCUCAACCAGUGCCUGCUUCAGCCACACCCCACUCACAGGACUGACCUUCCAACAUACUUGCCCCAGGAGGCAGCUAGUGCUGGUUCUCAUCAAAAGGGCCCACGAGGGGCACGCCCCUCUGCUGGUUUCCCUGGUAACUAAUGAGCCCACCAGAAGUCAAUUCCCCUAUAACUAGCAGUCUCCCCUCCCCCAGACCGAAGCCUGCUGCCAAGUCUGCUCCGCGGUGGGGUGUCUCUCCAGGACGUGGCUUCAGACAGGGGCCCAAGGAAGGCCACAUAUGCAGGAGCAGAGUGAUCCUGAUUUUAACAGAUUUCUCUGUCUGAGUGUAUUAUUGGAACCUCUAACUCUCGAACUACCUCGAAAAUAUCUGUCAAAGACUAUUCUAAAGAAAACCUUCUGGAUCUUAUGAUUUCAGCAAAGGGCUGACAGCAGAGAAAGUCUGGAUUCUGUGACGUCCCCUCAGUCCUCCUCAAGAUCCUCAUGUUUACACUUGCAGGGCCUGCACCCCUCUCAUUUAUUUACCUGAGGUUGGUGCCUUGGGUCAAAGCCACCAUCUCCUUGCCAAGCCAAAUUAAAAAGUCAAGGGGAUGCAGAGGUUUGUCUUUACAUGACAUCCAUGCAUGGGACCUCUCAGGACUAAUACUAGAGGAGGGCUUCUGUGAGGCUCUGUCUGUACGCAGUGAGAGGUCCCCUCUGUUCUCCCUCUAGGUCCUCACAUCAGUAUGUGGCAGGCUCUGAGACUCUUCCCUCAUCUCAUCUGAGGCUGAAUCCCUCAGAAAAAGCCUUCCCCUAGCUCCCAAGAUGGAAGUUCAGAUACAGCACAUCUGGGGCAAAGUGCUUCAAACUUCUCAUGGAAGACAGCAGGGGCAGGGCAGGCCUGGAGCCUCCUCUAUUAGUGGUGAGAGGUCUCCUCAGUCCUUCUUUAGGGUCCUCAGCUUGAAGUCUGACUGGGUGAGAUCUCACAUCUUCUGACCUGAAGCCACAGCCCACAGAGGAAGCCUCACAUCCAAUUCCUAAAGCUCUCCAGGAUGGAAGUCUAGAAACAACACAUUUGGGGAUGCUUGGAGCUUCUGGAGUUUGGCCUCAAGGGUCGGGUGGGACUGAGGUUCUCUGUAUAUGUAGGGAGAGGGUCCUUCUGUUCUUCCUCAGAGGCCCCAUAUGGAAACCUCUCUUUCCUGACCUGAGUCAAGUCUUCUCAGAUGAUCCCAAGAUUCCCUCAGACUCUGAUGGAGUCAGGAAACUUCAUCAGGGACCUUGCCCAAAGCUUCUGUGUGCUAACAUCAGGGGCAGGGGGUUGCUCCUUCACUCCUUCCUCAAUGUCCUCCCCUUGAUGACUUGCAAAUUGAAAAGUAUAAAUCUCAAAUACAAAAACAUAGGGCAAAAUUUAAUGACCUGGAAUUAGGCAAAGAGGUCUGAAAAAAGGACACCCAAAAUUCUGGAAAAAGAAAAAUAAAUUGAACAUCUCCAAUGUUUAAAAACAAGAAGUAUUUAUCUGAAAAAGACAUGCUUAAGAGCAGAAAAAGGCAAGCUACAGACUGGAAAAAAUCUUUACAAAUCAACUAAGGAUAUAUAAAGGAAUCUCAAGAUUUAAAAAGAAAGGGAAAAACUCAGUUUUUAAAAGUGGGAUGAAUAUACCUCACUAAAAUUAGCAUACGUAUGUUACAUAAACUCAUGAAAAAAUUUUCUACUUCGUUAAACAUUAGAGACAAGCCAAUUAAAAGCACCAUAACAUGCAACUUACUUUUGUGACCAGAUUAAAAAAUAACACUGACAUUACCAAUUGCUAGAAAGGAUGAAGAACAACUUGAACUCUCAUGAAUUGCCCCUGUGGGAAAUGACUUCAUAAAUUUUUUUCUUUUUUUUUGGGCAGUGCCCG